UGUGCGGGGUGCUACGAGCGUCGCGUUUGUUUGAUCGUGUGUUUUUGUGUUUGCUGCUAUGAAGUAGGUCGCAGUUAGCGUGCACAGAAGUGCCUGAAGAUACCUUGUGUCACGCUGCAAACUCGCCGUAUGCGUGGCGCGCCAGGCAAAUGUGGCCCAACGAUUUUAUGCCGUGGAGUGCGGUCUCUUUGUUCUCGUUCUGGAAAGUUGGGUGGACGUCGCAAAGAAUGUGUGUUAGCGCGCCUCAGCUCGUCCACUACGCAGCGGCAUGUAUGCGGGGAGUAACAUCGUCGACGCAGCACCGGCAACUUGGAGAGUGCUUCGCGACCGCGUCGUACCAUUCAAAAGUGGCGAGGCUGUGACCCAUAACAGUGCCUACAUAACGGAGGAGCCACCAGACCCCUUGGCUAUGCCUGCCGUAGUGCAACGUAUAAUCUGGAUGGUCGGGUCAGGUACACCUAGGAAAUGUUGUAUACAUUGGCAACGAUAACUGGGGCCUGUUCCAGUGCCAUCGCCGGGAUUCCCUGUUCUGCAAAGAACUGACAUAACUGAUGUGGGGAGCCCUGGCGCUCGGUGUAGGAGUAUCACAGGGGCUCCUUGUCGAUGCUUGAAGGACGGCAAUGCUGUU